rnacentral:rRNA from 1 species
GCCUACGGGGCGCAGCAGUGGGGAAUAUUGCACAAUGGGGGAAACCCUGAUGCAGCGACGCCGCGUGAGUGAGGAAGUAUUUCGGUAUGUAAAGCUCUAUCAGCAGGGAAGAAAUACUGACCUUACGGUCAGCAGACGGUACCUGACUAAGAAGCCCCGGCUAACUACGUGCCAGCAGCCGCGGUAAUACGUAGGGGGCAAGCGUUAUCCGGAUUUACUGGGUGUAAAGGGAGCGUAGACGGCGCGGCAAGUCUGAAGUGAAAGGCAGGGGCUUAACCCCUGAACUGCUUUGGAAACUGCCAUGC